UCAAGUAAUUAAGUGCAUGUGGUGGAUGCCUUGGCAGUCAGAGGCGAUGAAAGACGUGAUAGCCUGCGAAAAGCUCCGGGGAGGCGGCAAAUAUCCUUUGAUCCGGAGAUGUCUGAAUGGGGGAACCCACCUACUUUAAGGUAGGUAUUGCAACAUGAAUACAUAGUGUUGCAAGGCGAACGAGGGGAAGUGAAACAUCUCAGUACCCUUAGGAAAAGAAAUCAAUUGAGAUUCCCUCAGUAGCGGCGAGCGAACGGGGAUCAGCCCAUUAAGUUAUGUGUGUUUUAGUGGAACGCUCUGGGAAGUGCGAACGUAGAGGGUGAUAUUCCCGUACACGAAAGGGCACACAUAAUGAUGACGAGUAGGGCGAGGCACGUGAAACCUUGUCUGAAUAUGGGGGGACCAUCCUCCAAGGCUAAAUACUCCUGACUGACCGAUAGUGAACCAGUACCGUGAGGGAAAGGCGAAAAGAACCCCUGUGAGGGGAGUGAAAUAGAUCCUGAAACCGCAUGCAUACAAGCAGUGGGAGCACCUUCGUGGUGUGACUGCGUACCUUUUGUAUAAUGGGUCAGCGACUUAUAUUCAGUAGCGAGGUUAACCGUAUAGGGGAGCCGUAGAGAAAUCGAGUCUUAAUAGGGCGUUUAGUUGCUGGGUAUAGACCCGAAACCAGGCGAUCUAUCCAUGAGCAGGUUGAAGGUUGGGUAACACUAACUGGAGGACCGAACCCACUGUCGUUGAAAAGCCAGGGGAUGACUUGUGGAUAGGGGUGAAAGGCUAAUCAAGCCUGGUGAUAGCUGGUUCUCCCCGAAAGCUAUUUAGGUAGCGCCUCGGACGAAUACCAUAGGGGGUAGAGCACUGUUUCGGCUAGGGGGUCAUCCCGACUUACCAAACCGAUGCAAACUCCGAAUACCUAUGAGUACUAUCCGGGAGACAGACUGCGGGUGCUAACGUCCGUAGUCAAGAGGAAAACAAUCCAGACCGCCAGCUAAGGCCCCAAAAUCAUAGUUAAGUGGGAAACGAUGUGGGAAGGCAUAGACAGCUAGGAGGUUGGCUUAGAAGCAGCCACCCUUUAAAGAAAGCGUAAUAGCUCACUAGUCGAGUCGGCCUGCGCGGAAGAUGUAACGGGGCUAAAACUAUGUGCCGAAGCUGCGGAUGUAUACUUUGUAUACGUGGUAGGGGAGCGUUCUGUAAGCCGAUGAAGGUGUGUUGAGAAGCAUGCUGGAGGUAUCAGAAGUGCGAAUGCUGACGUGAGUAACGACAAAACGGGUGAAAAACCCGUUCGCCGAAAGACCAAGGGUUCCAGUCCAACGUUAAUCGGGGCUGGGUGAGUCGACCCCUAAGGCGAGGCCGAAAGGCGUAGUCGAUGGGAAAAUGGUUAAUAUUCCAUUACUUCUGUGUAAUGCGAUGAGAGGACGGAGAAGGCUAAAUCAGCCUGGCGUUGGUUGUCCAGGUGAAAGGAUGUAGGCAUGUAUCUUAGGCAAAUCCGGGGUACUCUAUGCUGAGAUCUGAUAGCAAGCUGUACUUGUACAGCGAAGUGGUUGAUGCCAUGCUUCCAGGAAAAGUCUCUAAGCUUCAGUUACACAGGAAUCGUACCCGAAACCGACACAGGUGGUCAGGUCGAGUAGACCAAGGCGCUUGAGAGAACUCUGCUGAAGGAACUAGGCAAAAUGGUACCGUAACUUCGGGAGAAGGUACGCUGUUGUUGGUGAUGGAACUCGCUUCCUGAGCUGACGACAGCCGCAGAAACCAGGCCGCUGCAACUGUUUAUUAAAAACAUAGCACUCUGCAAACACGAAAGUGGACGUAUAGGGUGUGAUGCCUGCCCGGUGCUGGAAGGUUAAUUGAUGGGGUUAGCGUAAGCGAAGCUCUUGAUCGAAGCCCCAGUAAACGGCGGCCGUAACUAUAACGGUCCUAAGGUAGCGAAAUUCCUUGUCGGGUAAGUUCCGACCUGCACGAAUGGCAUAAUGAUGGCGGCGCUGUCUCCAGCAGAGGCUCAGUGAAAUCGAAAUCGCUGUGAAGAUGCAGUGUACCCGCGGCUAGACGGAAAGACCCCGUGAACCUUUACUGCAGCUUGACACUGAACUUUGACCUUACUUGUGUAGGAUAGGUGGGAGGCUUUGAAGCUGGAACGCUAGUUCCAGUGGAGCCGUCCUUGAAAUACCACCCUGGUAAUGUUGAGGUUCUAACUCUGUCCCGUGAUCCGGGACGAGGACCGUGUCUGGUGGGUAGUUUGACUGGGGCGGUCUCCUCCUAAAGAGUAACGGAGGAGUACGAAGGUGCGCUCAGCGUGGUCGGAAAUCACGCGUAGAGUAUAAAGGCAAAAGCGCGCUUAACUGCGAGACCCACAAGUCGAGCAGGUACGAAAGUAGGUCUUAGUGAUCCGGUGGUUCUGUAUGGAAGGGCCAUCGCUCAACGGAUAAAAGGUACUCCGGGGAUAACAGGCUGAUACCGCCCAAGAGUUCAUAUCGACGGCGGUGUUUGGCACCUCGAUGUCGGCUCAUCUCAUCCUGGGGCUGAAGCAGGUCCCAAGGGUAUGGCUGUUCGCCAUUUAAAGAGGUACGCGAGCUGGGUUUAGAACGUCGUGAGACAGUUCGGUCCCUAUCUACCGUGGGCGCUGGAAAUUUGAGAGGAUCUGCUCCUAGUACGAGAGGACCAGAGUGGACGAACCUCUGGUGUACCGGUUGUGACGCCAGUCGCAUCGCCGGGUAGCUAUGUUCGGAAGGGAUAACCGCUGAAAGCAUCUAAGCGGGAAGCCUACCUCAAGAUAAGAUUUCCCUAGGACUUUAUGUCCUCUAAAGAGCCGUUCGAGACUAGGACGUUGAUAGGUUGGAUGUGGAAGCAUAGUGAUAUGUGAAGCUGACCAAUACUAAUUGCUCGUGAGGCUUGACUAU
rnacentral:rRNA from 1 species